AAAGAGACUUCCAAUAAGUGCAUUCAACCAUGAGGGUACAAACUCGGAACAGCAAGAAUCACAAAAAGUAUUAGAUUCAAAUCAGC